GCUGGGCAUGGUGGCGCAUGCCUGUAAUCCCAGCUGCUUGGGAGGCUGAGGCAGGAGAAUCGCUUGAACCCAGGAGGCUGAGGUUGUAGUGAGCCAAGAUCAUGCCAUUGCACUCCAGCCUGGGUGACAGUGAGACUCUGUCUCAA
rnacentral:SRP_RNA from 1 species